rnacentral:rRNA from 1 species
UACAUGGGGUGCAACCGUUGCUCGGAAUUAUUGGGCGUAAAGCGCACGUAGGCGGUUUGUUAAGUCGGAUGUGAAAUCCCUCGGCUCAACUGAGGAAGUGCAUCCGAAACUGGCAAGCUUGAGUACGAAAGAGGAUCGCGGAAUUCCCGGUGUAGAGGUGAAAUUCGUAGAUAUCGGGAGGAACACCGGUGGCGAAGGCGGGUCUCUGGGCAAUUCCUGACGCUGAGGCGCGAAAGCGUGGGGAGCAAACGGG